CCUACGGGAGGCAGCAGUGAGGAAUAUUGGUCAAUGGACGAGAGUCUGAACCAGCCAAGUAGCGUGAAGGAUGACUGCCCUAUGGGUUGUAAACUUCUUUUAUAUGGGAAUAAAAUGUUCCACGUGUGGGUUUUUGUAUGUACCAUAUGAAUAAGGAUAGGCUAACUACGUGCCAGCAGCCGCGGUAAUAAGGAGGAUCCGAGCGUUAUCCGGAUUUAUUGGGUUUAAAGGGAGCGUAGGUGGAUUGUUAAGUCAGUUGUGAAAGUUUGCGGCUCAACCGUAAAAUUGCAGUUGAAACUGGCAGUCUUGAGUACAGUAGAGGUGGGCGGAAUUCGUGGUGUAGCGGUGAAAUGCUUAGAUAUCACGAAGAACUCCGAUUGCGAAGGCAGCUCACUGGACUGCAACUGACACUGAGGCUCGAAAGUGUGGGUAUCAAACAGGAUUAGAUACCCGAGUAGUC
rnacentral:rRNA from 1 species